rnacentral:lncRNA from 1 species
UGGGAGCAGGGAUGGGGGCAUGAGGAAGGCAUUGGGAGGAACUGGGAGGGACUGGGAGCAGGGAUGGGAAUGUUGGGAAAAACUGGGAGGGAAGUGGGGGCCACUUUCUAAUUUUUCUCCCUUUUCUUUCUCUCCUUUCCUCCUCCUCCUUUUUCCAUUUUCCCCUUUUCCCUGCCCUUUUUGUUUCCCUUUUUCCCCUUUUCCCUGCCCCAUUUUCCCCUUUUUCCUGCCCUUUCUCCCAUUUUUCCUGUUUUUUGCCCCAAACCUACCCCAGGCUGGCCCUGUUCAACACGCAGUUCCUGCGCCUCUGCGCCGACGCCGACCCGCGGGUGCGGCCCCUGGGCUACGCCGUGCGCCUCUGGGCGGGGGGACAGCGGCUGGCAGGGAACCGGGCCGGGGGCGGCCCCCUCCUCACCAACUACGCGCUGACGCUGCUGCUGGUGCUGUUCCUGCAGAGCCGCAGCCCCCCGGUGCUGCCCUCGGUGCGGCGCCUCCGCCUCCUGGCAGGGCCCCAGGACCGAGCCCAGGUGGGGGGGUGGGAUUGCAGCUUCCCCCGGGACGCGGCGGCGCUGGAGCCCAGCGAGAACGGCCAGAGCACCGGUGAGGGGGAGCCGGGGGUCCCCAAAUCCGGGAGGGGCUCCUGACCCACUGGGGAGGGGGUCCCCAAAUCCGGGAGGGGCUCCUGACCCACUGAGGGGGGGUCCCGAAAUCCGGGAGGGGCUCCUGACCCACUGAGGGGGGGUCCCCAAAUCCGGGAGGGGCUCCUGACCCUCUGAGGGGGGGUCCCUAAAUCCGGGAGGGGCUCCUGACCCACUUGGGGGGGGUCCCCAAUUCCGGGAGGGGCUCCUGACCCACUGGGGGGGGGGGAGGCUCAAAUCCCACUGGCUUUUGGGGGGAUUCUGGGUGUAUUUGAGGGUAUUUUUUGGGUUGGUUAUGGAUGGUCUUUGGGGUUGGUUUGGGUGUUUUUGGGGUUGUUUCUGGGGUGGUUUUGGGGGGUAUUUUUGGGGCUGUUUCUGGGUGGUUUUGGGACUGUUUCUGGGUGGUUUUAGGGCAGUUUCUGGAUGUUUUUAUGACAGUUUCUGGGUGAUUUUGAGGGUAUUUUUGGGGUUGUUUCUGGGGUGGUUUUGGGGGUAUUUUUGGGACUGUUUCUGGGUGGUUUUGGGGGGUAUUUUUUUUUGGCUGUUUCUGGGUGGUUUGGGGUUGGUUUUUUUUUGGCUGUUUCUGGGUGGUUUGGGGGUAUUUUUUUUGGCUGUUUCUGGGUGGUUUUAGGGCAGAUCCUGGAUGUUUUCGGGGGUGUUUCUGGUUGAUUUUAGGGGUGUCCUGGCUAUUUUCGGGGGUGUCUCCACGGCUCUCUGACUACCCCCUCCCUCCCCCCCAGCCUCCCUCCUGGCCGAAUUCUUCUCCUAUUUCGGGAGCCUGAAUUUGGGGGAGCUCCUCCUGUCCCCCUUGGAGGGCCGAGCUCUGCCUCGCCCCCCUCCCGAGACCCUCGGGGGGCUCCGCCCGGGCCCCCUGACCCUGCAGGACCCCUUCGAGCUGAGCCACAACGUGGCCGCCAAUGUCACGGCGCGCACGGUGUCGCGAUUCGUGCGCUGCUGUCGCGACGCCGCCCGACUCUGUCGCGGCCCCGAGUUCCUCCAGAAGUCGCGCA